CCUGCCCUGUGCUGGCUGGGGAGUCAGGAGGGGGAAGCCUCAGAGCGGGGGCCUGCCUGGCCCAGCUCCUCCCUCUGCAGGCCUCUACCACAGCACCGCUGCCUCCACGGGGGCACCACGGAAGUGGGCACAUCUUGCCAAGAGCUGCAAAAAGAGAAGCGAGCCUUAGCUCACCCUGAAAGGAGGCCCUGGAGCCAGCAGAACCCAGGGGUGUCACCACCACGCGAGCAGCUGCCCCACAGGCAGCAGAGGGAGGAGGCCACGCAGAAUCUGGGCUCGCCAUUGCCUUUCGGGAGGGCCCAUCCAUCGUCUCAUCCAGCAUUUCCAAAACUUUUCCCUCGGCAGCCACAGAGGCUUUUAAUACACAGGGAAAUCUCAUUUGGAGUGCCAGUACGAGAAGCCUUUAAAUGAAACAAUCGUUUUACUAGCUUACAUCUAGUAAAUUAAAGUGGACACACUCACUCCGUGUAAAUUCAGUAAUGGCCACACAGCACAGGAGGGGUGAUGUCUGGAUUGGGAACCCCAUCUGGGUUCAAAUAAAGCAUGUCCCAGCCUCCGUGGCCGCCAGUGGUCCUUGGCAAUGGCAAGAUGGAAGAAGACCCCUGUGUAAAGCUAUGGUUUGCUUGUGUGUGAUGGUCACAGUGACGUCUGGAUGCGCGUGUCGCUCCUACACCCGGCUGGCGCUGCAGGAAGCCAUCCUGGGUCCUGCAAGAACCUCCCGGGCUCCGGCGGCUGGAAGGGAAGCCUUGACAGUGGAGAUGAUGUGUCUCCCCCGUCACCCAAUCUCCGCCAGCAGCACCAGCACGCUGGCUUUGGAUGCAAGGACAUAAAGCAAGAGAUGUGGACCAUUC